rnacentral:lncRNA from 1 species
CCGCCUCCUUCUGUCCAAAGAAUGCAUCUCAACUCGCAAUAGGGCUAUUUAUAGGUGAGGAGCGCAGCAGAAAAUAGGCCCAAGCCCAGCAGACAACCGCCCGGCGGAACAAGUGUGGCGCCCGGCAGUUUCCCACAAAUCGCACUACCGCCCGGCGAUAGGGGUCUACCACCCGACGGUUUCCCUCAAAUCGCAAAACCGCCCAGCGCCUACGCCAGGUGCCUACUCCUCGCC